AUUGAACGCUGGCGGCAUGCUUUACACAUGCAAGUCGAACGGCAGCGCGGGCUUCGGCCUGGCGGCGAGUGGCGCACGGGUGAGUAAUGCAUCGGAACGUGCCCAGCAGUGGGGGAUAGCCCGGCGAAAGCCGGAUUAAUACCGCAUACGACCUGAUGGUGCAGGCGGGGGACCGAAAGGCCUCGCGCUCUUGGAGCGGCCGAUGUCGGAGUAGCUAGUUGGUGGGGUAAAGGCUUACCAAGGCGACGAUCCGUAGCUGGUCUGAGAGGACGACCAGCCACACUGGGACUGAGACACGGCCCAGACUCCUACGGGAGGCAGCAGUGGGGAAUUUUGGACAAUGGGGGCAACCCUGAUCCAGCCAUGCCGCGUGCGGGAAGAAGGCCUUCGGGUUGUAAACCGCUUUUGUUCGGGAAGAAAUCCUCUGGGCUAAUACCCCGGGGGGAUGACGGUACCGGAAGAAUAAGCACCGGCUAACUACGUG
rnacentral:rRNA from 1 species